UUCUCAGGGACAGCUCAGACAGUAGUAGCAUGAGGCUCUUAAUCUCAGGGUCAUGGGUUCAAGUUCCAUACUGGAAG